AGGGUAGACGAACUAACCCCUAUUGAAGUUUAGUUCUUACGUUAAGGAGAAAUAGUAUG
rnacentral:sRNA from 12 species